rnacentral:rRNA from 1 species
UCUAUCCAGUAAGGCAUUCAGUUCCUAAAGGAUGUUCACUAGUGUGGAAGGGUUAAAGUUAAUACCUUUGCCCAUUGACGUUACUCGCAGAGGGGUACCGGCUAUCUCUGUGCCAGCACCGCCUAGAAUACGGGGGGUGCACGCGUUAAUUACAAUUUUGGGCGAAAGCGCACGCAGGCGGUUUUUAAGUCAGAUGUGAAAUCUCCGGGCUCACACUGGGAACUGCAUCGGAAACUGGCAAGCUUGAGUCUCAUAGAGGGGGGUAGAAUUCCAGUUGUAGCGGUGAAAUGUGUAGAGAUAUGGAGGAAUCCCGGUGGGGAAGGCGGCCCCCUGGACGAAGACUGACGCUCGGGUGCGAAAGCGUGGGGAGCGACAGGAUUAGAUACCCUGGUAGUCCACGCCGUA